rnacentral:rRNA from 1 species
UCGUCAGCUCGUGCCGUGGAGGUGGUACGGGUUACGUCCCAAUAACGAGCGACCAACCCCUUACCUUUAGUUCGCCAUCGAGUUAAGCUGGGGACUCUAAAGGAACUGCCUACGCAAGUAGUGAGGAAGGCGGGGAUGACGUCAAAUCAGCACGGCCCUUACGUCCAGGGCUACACACGUGCUACAAUGGCCGAUACAGAGGGCAGCUACCUGGUGACAGGAUGCAAAUCUCCAAAGUCGGUCUCAGUUCGGAUCGGAGUCUGCAACCCGACUCCGUGAAGUUGGAUUCGCUAGUAAUCGCGCAUCAGCCAUGGCGCGGUGAAUACGUUCCCGGGCCUU